rnacentral:rRNA from 1 species
AAUAGAUACCCGGGUAGUCCAUGCCGUAAACGAUGUCUACUAGCCGUUGGGUCCUUUGAGGACUUAGUGGCGCAGCUAACGCGAUAAGUAGACCGCCUGGGGAGUACGGUCGCAAGACUAAAACUCAAAUGAAUUGACGGGGGCCCGCACAAGCGGUGGAGCAUGUGGUUUAAUUCGAUGCAACGCGAAGAACCUUACCUGGCCUUGACAUACUAGAAACUUUCCAGAGAUGGAUUGGUGCCUUCGGGAAUCUAGAUACAGGUGCUGCGUGGCUGUCGUCAGCUCGUGUCGUGAGAUGUUGGGUUAAGUCCCGCAACGAGCGCAACCCUUUUCCUUACUUGCCAGCAUUUUGGAUGGGAACUUUAAGGAUACUGCCAGUGACAAACUGGAGGAAGGCGGGGUACGACGUCAAGUCAUCAUGGCCCUUACGGCCAGGGCUACACACGUGCUACAAUGGUCGGUACAAAGGGUUGCUACCUAGCGAUAGGAUGCUAAUCUCAAAAAGCCGAUCGUAGUCCGGAUUGGAGU